rnacentral:tRNA from 1 species
GUCUUUGUGGCGCAAUAGGUCAGCGCAGCCGGCUGUUAUCUGAAAAGAUGGUGGUUCAAGUCCACCCAGGGAUG